GGUCAUCGUUCGAGGAGUUUGCCACUUCCAUCGGACCCCGCAAUGCUUCGCCCAAAGGUUUGCUGCCAUCUUUUCGUUCGUCAUAUCUGGAAACACUAACAUCGAUCAUUCCAGAGAUUGUGGAGGAGCACGAGGAGCAAAGUUUGUGGGACACAAGCCCAGCGCUAAAUGCAUUACAAGAUAAUGCACUCGCAACAACGAACAGCGAUCUUAUGGAUUUGCUUUCGCUCGACUGGGAUUCAAAGGCAGUCCUGGCAGCCACUGCCACUGACGAGGUAGGUUUUUUUCCCUGCUAUGCAGUAGAACGUAAAGGAUGUAUAGCUAUCGUUCCAGUUCGUCGUUCCAAUGCAUCAUUCAAGAUAGCUGUGUCUGUGUUUUCUACGUAUGCUCUUGCAGGCAUGAUAAUUUAACUCCUAUCCUUCAGGCACAACCAAACGCAGCAGGCAUGGAAGAAGGGAUGAAGCCGAAGUACCUCAAAUCGUGGACUCUUCUCGCCCGUGCUUGUGCCACCGAGUUAAAACUCGGCCUUGGCAUCUGGAACGAUGCCGUGUCCCGUGGCUGUUCUACGCGACUGGUCUCCACCGAGCAAGGUUGUACGAAUCUAGGAGCGAAAGUUUUCCUGCGAAAGUAGCCACUGGUUAACUAACUUUCAGCUGAAACAGGUGAAAACUACUUCACUGCCCUCGUACACAUUUACCGGGUUCUUCGCCUCCUGGGUGCCUCGGCGGAGCUCUACGCGUCGUGGCUUCUUCCCGGGAUUUGUGAGGAGCUCGCGCUGGCCAUGGA
rnacentral:lncRNA from 1 species